UUCUGGAAUAGCCUUCCUGAUAAUGUUCGGGGUUCAGACACACUUUCUCUGUUUAAAUCUAGAUUUUUGGCCAACCAUUCAAAUAAUGCAUCUCAUAAUUUGUGACUACAGUUAUAUCUGAUCAAAUGCGCAUUAUUAUUCUUUAGCUUGGGUUAAACUAAUUAAUUUUACUUGGCUGGAACAGCAGCUACGCUAAUUAUGUCUCCCGCUAUUUAUGCUGUUCUGUGUCAGCUACGUCACGCCAGAACUGUUUCCUACGUUGUUGUGAUUUUAUCUGAUCAGAAACAGCGUAUCGGCGUGACGCAGCUGACACAGAACAGCAUACGUCCAGCGGAUAUUCUCCAAAAUGGCACCAGGGUGAUGCGGAGGAGACAAAUUGUUGAAUAAAGUCUUUUUUUUUUCUUUUGCGCACAAAAAGUAUUCUCGUAGCUUCGUAUAAUUGCGGAUGAACCACUGAUGUCACAUGGAUUAUUUUACAGAUUUCCUUGCUAUUAUAGGGCUUGGGCGCCGCGUUGCAUUCUGGGACGUGGCGGCCAUGUUGAUGGCGUCGUGAAUGUAAACAUACAGCAAGUCGAACGAGAAGAAACAGAGUUGGGAGAAAGAAAAAAUAUGUUAAAAUCGCGAAAAGGUUGUGGGAUUUACAGGGAUACGCUAAGUAGGGAUGCCAGGGAUCGAUAUCUUCGGCUACCUUGUUUGUUUUGUGAGCGCCUACACUUCAGAACAGUUCCGAAGCUACAAGUCAUUGGAGUCUCAUGUGCAGUUCACAAAUGGAUGGGUUAAGGAACUGCAGAUCAUAAAGCCGGCAAACAGUAUACAGUAAUCCAGACAAAGGUAAACUGCACUCCGCCUAGUUGCUAGUUUACUAACCGUUAGUGCUAACAACCAUUCACAUGUACUUUUAACUAACUUAUGUGUUUCAAAAGUUUAGUUAGUAGCUGUCAACCCUCCCGUUUUUUUCCGGGGUUCUCAUGUAUUUGAGCUCUUCUCCCGCUGUCUUCCCGUUGUAGUAUUUUCCUGUAAAAUAUCCCGUUAGCCCUUCCAUCGGACCUGUCAGUCUCUGUGCUGUUGUCCUGUUGCUACACAGUUGCCCUUCCAGCAAAACAGAUAUUUUCAAACCAUCGUUUUGCUUAACGUUACUUGAAAGCAACCUUAGCGUGAUAUUGGCCUUUUUAAGAUAACAGCGUGGUUGUUGUGAGAGCACGAUUUCACACCAAUGUAAGCAAAGUCACAUUAGACAUAGCUUCACAAUCUCGCUUAGUUAAUGCAGCAGUUUUGUAGUACGAAUUUUUGCUGUCAGCAGAGGGACAGCAACAGAAAGAUGAAUGUAGAAAUUUUCCGGUUUUUUGGAUGAGUAGCCCAGGAAAUUUCCCUUAUUUUCAGUGUUUACUUAAGCUAUAUAAAUUAAUAUUCAGAUAUUAUACCUCACUUGGUCUCCGUGGUCGCGCCUCCAAGCAGGAAAGCAGUGGCAAGUUAAUCCAUUUUUUUUCAAAGGGCGAUUAUGUGUUGCGCUAUUACACCCCACAAUACAGCAACGGUUUACCAUGGUUGAAAUAGAUUUUUAAUUAAUCAAAUUAAGACACACGGCUGAGAGGGAGUAUGUCUAAACACUGCGCAGUAGUCCGAGUAGCAGUAAAGGCCAUCAGCAUGGCGGCCACCCCAAGUAAUGACGUCACGACGCCCAAGCCCUAUUCUGGAAUUGGGAACUUUUCAGUUGCAUUGCUGUCUAUGCAGGGUCAGAAAGCUCUCAGAUUCCAUCAAAAAUAUUGAUUAUAUUGAUUAUAUUACCUAAAAUGUGUAAUGUGAUGAAUUACUACACUAGUCAACAUUUGAAGUGGAUCAAAACCUUUCAUCAAAGUUGUCCUAAAACCAAAAUGCGUUCUUGUCUUAGAACAACUUUGAUGAACUUUUUUGUUCCACUUUAAAUGUCGACUACUAUAAUUACAAUUCUUGUAAUGUAAUUUGAACGGAUUACAAUUUGUAAGUAAUCUACCCAGCACUGUUUUAAGAGCCUGUGGUCAUAUGAACUAGUUAAGGCUGAUUUAUACUUCUGCGUCGGACCUACGCCGUAGCCUACGCAUAGACACACACCCUACGCCGUAGCCAACGCCUUGACCUGACGUGCACCUCUCCAAAAAUCUAACAGCGCGUCAAUUCUACGCGGACCGCAAGCACUGUGAUUGGUCUGCUAGAACCCCUUCCUCUGUAUGUACUUGAGUUUGGUGUGUGUUUAUAAUGUGCACUUUAAUAUAUUUUAAUGUUACACCUUCUUAUAUAAAAUAAAACAAAGCAAAGAACAAGUGUCUUAUCA
ensembl:lncRNA